GGGUGUCGAUCGACAGGGGUAG
rnacentral:siRNA from 1 species